rnacentral:rRNA from 1 species
AAGCCGGAAUCGCUAGUAAUCGCGGAUCAGAAUGCCGCGGUGAAUACGUUCCCGGGUCUUGUACACACCGCCCGUCACACCAUGGGAGUCGGAAAUGCCCGAAGCCGGUGACCCAACCCGAAAGGGAGGGAGCCGUCGAAGGCAGGUCGGAUGACUGGGGUGAAGUCGUAACAAGGUACC